rnacentral:rRNA from 1 species
CAGCAGCCACGGGAAUACGUAGGUGGCAAGCGUUGUCCGGAAUUAUUGGGCGUAAAGGGCUCGCAGGCGGUUUCUUAAGUCUGAUGUGAAAGCCCCCGGCUCAACCGGGGAGGGUCAUUGGAAACUGGGAAACUUGAGUGCAGAAGAGGAGAGUGGAAUUCCACGUGUAGCGGUGAAAUGCGUAGAGAUGUGGAGGAACACCAGUGGCGAAGGCGACUCUCUGGUCUGUAACUGACGCUGAGGAGCGAAAGCGUGGGGAGCGGACAGGAUUAGAUACCCCCGUAGUCCCUGUCUCUUAUAC